CCAGGUUUCAGGUGAUUCUUCUGACUCAGCCUCCUGAGUAGAGUAGCUGGGAUUACAAGCUCCCGCCACUACUCCUGUGUAAUUUUUUUUUUUUUUUUCAGUAGAGACGGGGUUUCACCGUGUUGGGCAGGCUGCUGCUCUGGAACUCCUGGCCUCAAGUGAUCCCCCAACCUUGGCCUCCCAAAGUGCUUGGAUUAUAGGUGCAAGCCACCUCGCCCUGCCGACUGCAUCCAGUUUUUACCAGAUCCUGUUUCCAUAAAUGGGAGUCCUGACCUUGUGACCAAAAACCAAGUUCUGCUGGCAUCGUACCUCAUCUUCUUUUCCAUAUUAAUAGUUAUAUCCAAUUAGCUAGUGUCCUGGGUACAAAUAGUUACCUACAGCACUAACUCAUUCUAUCUACAAUAGAUCACACUGUAGUGCUGAAAAGAAAGAAUAUUGAUUCAACUUCCUGGAUUGAUCGACUUUUCUUCAGCAGAGAAUUUAGAAUUGAAAAGAACGUGAUUGGCAACUUCCUGCCUUCAACUAGAUGUAAAGGCUAUAGAGACCUCGGUGACUGAAGCGGUAGGAGACAAUGAGAAGAAAAUACGGCCUGAACCGGAGCAGGGAGCGGGGGCAGAAGAAGAAAGUCACGUCUGCCCUGGAGAGGCUGACCCCAUGUUCACCAAGAACCUGAUGAAGGCCUGCGGUGGCCACCAGGAGUCCUGGCAGCCACAGCCUGAGGAGUCGGCCCAGGACUCCUCCUCCUCUGAGCCGCAGCCCCAAGAUCAGCAGCAUCCCUUUGUCCCUGUUGGAUUCAGUGG
rnacentral:lncRNA from 1 species